CGAAGGAUCCUAGCGUUGUCCGGAUUUACUGGGUUUAAAGGGUGCGUAGGCGGAUAAUUAAGUCAGUGGUGAAAGCCGGCAGCUCAACUGUCGAAUUGCCAUUGAAACUGAUUGUCUCGAGUACGGUUGAGGUGGUUGGAAUGUUGCGUGUAGCGGUGAAAUGCUUAGAUAUGCAACAGAACACCGAUUGCGAAGGCAGACCACUAAGCCGUCACUGACGCUGAGGCACGAAAGCGUGGGGAUCAAACAGGAUUAGAUACCCUGGUAGUCCACGCCCUAAACGUUGAAUACUCGGUCUUAGCGAUAUACAGUUAGGGCCCAAGCGAAAGCGUUAAGUAUUCCACCUGGGGAGUACGGCCGCAAGGUUG
rnacentral:rRNA from 1 species